CGCGCGCGCGCGCACGUGUAGAUUUGAGCAUUCGUCGCUUAAAUAGGACACGACUAUUUCCUGCUAACAUAGUUACACAAAGGUAACAGUACAAAUCGGUUGGUGAAGUCUCAGGUCGCUCCUCUAAUGAACAAGUCUCCUGAAGAGCUAAACUGUUUUUCUGCAACUAGUACGAUCAAUGUGCCAACAUCGUUCUACGCCGCGCAGGUAGAAGGACAAGCGUCAUAUAUCGGACUACACGAUCUGUCAUCGCGAUUGCACGGAGCAACAGAUUCCCCGGUCAAUUCGAGGCUGAUUUCGCUCUUCUUCACGAUAAUUGGUUCUUGGUCAGCAAUUGAAGUUGCCCUUCGUCGAAGUGUCACGAAGAGCCGCAGAAGGACAGACCGGUUAUUUUAGCUCCGUACAAUAUCGGGGGAAUGAUACGCCGCGGCGAGAGAGGCGUGCACGGAGCGCGUUGGCUCUAUUCGCAUGCACGUCGUAUCUUCGUGGUGCGCGAUAUGAACGAGCCGAGGAUCCGGCGGAAUAAAAAUCGCGUUAAGAAGGCGGAGGCGGAGGCUUUAGAGGUCUCGUCACGACGUCGUCGUCGUUGGGAAAUAGGCUUACGGCGAUGCGGAAGCGCGCCGAGAAUUCUCGCGGCUUGUUUCCGAGCUCGCGAAAUGAAUGAGAUGGUGUGCGACGGACAAUCAACGGGAACUUAUUUUGGCUAAUAAUUAAUGUUCUUCCAGCGUCUCUUAAUGACCAUGAAUCGAAAUUUUCCCCGGGUCGAAAUUUUAGCCCCUUACGACCUGAAUUUUCUGAAGGAUCACCGUGUGUUUAUGAUAGUCGUAUCAUGAAACGCGUUUCGCGCGAAAAUCCGGUGAAAUCUGCACUAUACACACAAUAAAAUAAAAUAAAAUGAAAGAUUCUAUUUUUUCUAUUUUUUUUCUAUUUUUUUUUAAAUAAGAAAAAAUGAGAAAAUAUGCAAGUGAAUGAGAAAGAAUGAGAGAGAAUGAGGAAAGAUAGUAGAAAAUUAAAGUAUUGUAACUAAAACAGUAUGAGAAUGAGGGAGAGAGAAUCUGGAAGAAUAAGAGAGAAGAAUGAAUGAGAAUGAGAGAGUAUUAAGAAGAAUAUAUAAAUAUUAAUAUAAUUAUUAAUUAUAAGUAUAUUUUAAAUUUAUUUUAUUUUUAUUUUUUAUUGUUUUUUAUUAGCUAAAUAGCGCGUGCGCCUGUAUUGUUCUAGUUGCAACUAAAAUUUACACGUUUUAUUAGUGUUCUUUGAGGCUAGUGUGCUAUUCUUGAUUUCUACUUCGAGUUCGUUUACUUUAGCUUGCGGAAAACGAAACUGCCCUCGACGAUAGUCAAUCUCCUUCAGUGACAAGGAAAGAUUUACGAGCUCUGACCGGGUAUUAAGCGAUCGGCCGAAAAUAGAGAAAGUCGCGAGAAAGCGACGUAGUCUAUAAUCUGGUGAGUCUUCAUUAUACAUGAGUCUCAAAUAUUAUGGAGAGUUUUACAUAAUUGCAGCGAUUGCAGUAACAUAGUUGCAGCGGUGCAGUCUCAAAUGUCGCGUUGUUUCUUUUUUCUUUUAUAUGGAGCACAUAUAUCUAAGCGGAGGAGAUAUUGUAGCAAAAGUUGCAACAAAAUUUUUGUAAUCUUGGAUACAUAAUCUUAUACAGAGUUAGAAUUAUUAUAUAUUUGAUUAAAAAUAUUGUACAUUUGACUUCUCUUGACUUUUUAUACUGAAUUGCUUGAAUGUUCUUUUUUUAUUGUAUACCAGAUAGAUCAAUAGAUAGACAGAUAGAUAGAUUUUUCAAUGUAUACCAGAAAUUUGUCAUUUCUGUAAUAAUUUAUAGCACAAUGUCGAUACUGCUCAGCUUUUCGAAAACAUCGUAACAUUAAGGGAAACGUAAAAAGAAACAUAACUUUAACGUAAUUUUUACCACAAUAUUUUCUCCGUGCAGAGUACGUUUGUGCUGGCUAUUUUCACACACAUAUACACGCAGUUCUUUUAAAAAAAGAUUAAUAUCAAAUUGUAUAAUAAUUUCGAAUUCUUCAGAUAAAAAUGAAACGACUACUUUUAAGCUGUUAUAAUUUUACGAAAUAAUGCAGGCGCCAUUUUAUUCAUGAUGCACUUCGCAGAAUUAUAACGACAUAAAAAUGCAAUCGUUUCACAAUGCCUGAAAAACCCGCAAUUAUCGCACAACAUAAUGCUUCGCCGAGAUAUUAAUUUUUUUGCGUCACAUCGCUUCGCGCAGUCGUGAUAUUUUUUUUCUACUUUAAGCGACGGCUGUUUCGUGACGAACGCUUACAAGGGCUAAAUCGGCCGGACGAUAAGGACGAAUGAAAUUUUGAUUUUUUCACGAGAUUGUUCAGCACGGAGGGAGAAACGCUAGCCAGGGGGAAGUGUUGGGUGUUCGGUUGCGGCGGCGGCGGUGUAUCGCGUAACGCGAGAAUAAUUAAUUCACAAAUGUAGAGUGGAGAUCGGAGAGGUACGAAACUUUUACUUCCAUCGGGUUCGUCGACCCUUUCGCGCACGGUGCGCACAGGCUAAUCCCGUCGGUUGGGAAAACGCGCGUAGGACGACCGAGCGACCAACCGACCGACCGACCGACCGACCGUACGGUUAAAUCGUCGAAAUAAUGGCGCGCGCAUCGAGCGUAUAUUAAAUCGAAACGCGCGACGGCCCACGAGAAGCCAGCCACGGGGAAAGCCGGCCUUUAAAUCCCGCCGCGCAAUAGCCCGUACUUUCCAGCCAUUUUGUCUAACUGUAUCGGGAUUAUUACGUGUGUGUGCGCGCGCGCGCGAUAAUAUCGGCGGAAGAAAAAAGGAAAAGAGAGGAAAAGAGAAGCUAUACAAACGAGGUCGAUCUCGGCGCAGAAAUACGUUUUAUACAAGCUGCUUAUACAUUUUUUAAUAAACCGCUCCUCUUGGGAAGAAGUCAUUCCGAAGGCUCGUAUCGCGUUUGUAUCUCUUCUCGGGAUUCUCCGUGCGCGACUUCAGUUAACUCGACGCCUCGCCAACACGCUGACGCCGCGAUCGAUGUGUGACUCCUCGCGACGUAAUUACACGAGAAAAGCAACUACGCCGGUGUAACUGAAUUUCCCGUUGCUUAGGAAGAAUUGGGAUCAGAUGAGAAAUUCGAUUGCGCACUGAGAGAAAAAGUGUACACAAAAUAACAGAUAUUUGAUCGAGAUAGGUAGUGAUGACACACUUAAUCAAAUCUUAAUCCGUCGGUGUGUAUAAUUGAAUGUUCAAAAAUACACAAAGAGUAUUAAAAAUAUUUAUAUAAAUGUUAUAUAAAUAACAUUAACAUGUUAUUUACUAAUAAUGUAUUUACUUACAUGUUAUUUACUAAUAAUCUAUUUACUAACAAAUUUUAUUAAGAAAAAAUAUAUAUACUAAAUAAGAUAUUUUUAUAUUUAAAAUAGUUUUUAUUUGAAAAUUAA